CAGGUUAACUACCAGCUCACUCUCCGCUAGCUAGAGCAUAUACACACAGCUAUAGCUGUAGUAUAUACUGAAAAGGAUUUAUUUGUUAAUUUGUUGGAACAUGGCAAUGCCACAUAUAGCUAGAGAAUCAUACUGUUAGGGUUAUCAUAUAUGUAUACAGGACCCCAACACUCGCUACCCGGUGGUGGUGCGGUUCAACAAGGUGAACUACGCCGGCGUGUCCACCAACAACUACGCCUUGGACGAGGUCCAGGAGGUGAAUGAACAAAAGUGAGGCCGGCUCAAGGGGCUCCCCGGCCCGCGCGCGCUAGCUAGCUCCCGUGUGAUGAUUUGUAGUUGUGAAAUGAGGCUGUGAAGCUGCAUGCUGUGCUAGCUAGCGUCACAAACAUCGAUCUUAUGUGUAAUAGCUUAAUCUCCAUAAUCAUCAUGUAAUUGCUUGCUUCAUUCACCGUGGACUCAAUAAUCUCUCUUGCUCUAAAAUUAUAUUGCUGUAUUCUUUUUUUUUGUUCUUGUGAUUUUGUAUGCAUGCACAUAAAUCUCUCUCUGGCACCAUAUAUAUUUGUGGCUCUGCUAAAAACUCACUUGUGCAGUCAUAUGCUAGCUAUUUAAUUAUAUAUACCGGAGUUCAUACAGCAUAUAUAGCAGAUCAAUUAUUUGCAACUGUAGCAAUAUGACAAACAGAUGGGGGAAAAGAUUUCUCAACCUUGGUACAACAUGGGGAACAGUUUAGUAUAUUAGAGGACAUAACAUGCAUAACAUGGGGAAUAGCUUUAACAGUUUAGUUACGAAUUGAACAAAAUCAGCAUCCCCAAAUAACUUCACAUGUCCAGUUCUAUAUAUAUAUAUAUAUCGUCUGAGUUUGUUUUCAAAUGUUGUCAAACAAUUAACAUACAUGGA
rnacentral:lncRNA from 1 species